rnacentral:rRNA from 1 species
UACGUAGGGUGCAAGCGUUGUCCGGAAUUAUUGGGCGUAAAGAGCUCGUAGGCGGUUUGUCGCGUCUGCUGUGAAAACCCGAGGCUCAACCUCGGGCCUGCAGUGGGUACGGGCAGACUAGAGUGCGGUAGGGGAGAUUGGAAUUCCUGGUGUAGCGGUGGAAUGCGCAGAUAUCAGGAGGAACACCAAUGGCGAAGGCAGAUCUCUGGGCCGUAACUGACGCUGAGGAGCGAAGGCAUGGGGAGCGAACAGG